AUGAUGCCAAUGAUCACGAGCACUACGGAGAGGACCAGUGCCAGGAUGCACAUCUUCUUACGGGACUUUUGCUACAGUGGAGAGAAGGAUAGAGAAUACUGAGCAUCAAAAAAACAACAUGAGAAAGAAAGUCAUACGAGUAUGAGACGGGAUAAGGGUGAAGAACUACACUACCCAUAAUCCUGAAGAAAGCUCCACCAAUCAGAGAACUGCGCCCAUCAAAGUGCACCAAAGAGCUCUGCAGCGACCGUGUUUCCCUAAGGUAUCAAAUUUGUUUUACUGUAAUAUGCAAAUAAUUUAAUAUCUUUCAUUAAAAAUAUAUAAUAUUUUUAUACUUAUAAUUGGCCACUUGAAAACAACAGUUUUAUAUUUGUCCAUUGCUUUUAAUUUAAGUCAUUUGCAAUGCUUCAUGGGAUUGUAGUUCAUGACCUCAUUAAAGACGUCUUGUAUCUUUGUCUUUUUGUCUGACGUUUGCUUCAAAUCUAAGUUUAAGUUGUGAUUCAGCUCGGAGCUAAUUGGUUUGGUUCAUGUCUUAGUACUCAAGUGUAAUCAAAUCAAAUUGCGAAAAUAAAUAUUUUCCAACUCGUUUUGAAAAAACUCUCCCCAGAUAGUCCCAUCCCCCCAACCCUUUGAAACAAAAUACUCUUGUAGCACCCCCUACCCUCUUAGGGGUGUAUUGCCCAAGCUCUGUUAGGGUGGAGCACCGGGUUCAAUUACUUUGUGUCACCUGACUAUAUAUAAAAUCCUACUCUGAUAGCACUAUUAUUAUAUUCCCACAGAAAUAUAAAGAAAAUAGCAAAGACUGAUUUAGAUAGUAAUCCAAAGGAUUUAUUUAAUAAGAGAAUAGGGAAGAUAUAAAAUAAUAAACAAUAUAAUAUUUAGUAUAUAAACAAUAAAUAUAUUUUCACUAUAGGUUAUUAAAAGUUACGUAGUGAAUAUAUUCAAAAUGUGCUUCAAAAAAUACACUUGCACUGAAUUCUUAAGUGCAAAAUACACUGAAUAAACACAUAUGUGUAUCAAUGUAUACACUUUUAUUGGAUACUCAAUAUAAAAUACUCCCUUUAGCUUUUGGACUUUCACAGUAAGUGUAAACUGUGUUUUAUAAACUCUUCUCACUUGUAAGCAAAUUGUGUAUUCACAGUAUAUACUUAACACAUAGUGCAAUUGUAGUGCAACUGACACUGAAUUCAAAGUAUAUUAAUUAACUAGUGAAUAUGAACUACAUUUACAUUUAUGCAUUUGGCAGACGCUUUUAUCCAAAGCGACUUACAGUGCACUUAUUACAGGGACAAUCCCCCUGGAGCAACCUGGAGUUAAGUGCCUUGCUCAAGGACACAAUGGUGGUGGCUGUGGGGAUCGAACCAGCAACCUUCUGAUUACCAGUUCAGUGCUUUAGCCCACUACACUACCACCACUCCAGGCAACCCUUACAUUAGUUUAUAGCCCAAACAUACUCUACGCAAGUAUGUGAACUCAGACGCAAGCUCAAUUUCACGCGUCGAUGUGUUGUGAAAUGUGUCAGUGCUCAAUUCAUAACACAACGCAAGUAUGCGCUGCAUUCUCAGCAUUGCCACAAGGGGCGCUAGAGCGGAUUUUCUUCUUUCAAUCAACAACUGUCAUGGCGGACUCGAGCAGCAAUUUGAGUUGAAACUUUUCGAAAAAUAUAUGCAACUUUUUGUCCCCUGUCCAUUCAAACGAACUUGUUUUUUCUCUGUGUCUCUCCCCACUCCUCAACUAUCGACUCAUCUACCACAUCUAGUUUCGUGGUCAGGCCUAAAAAAUCUAUUGCCCCUUUGUGGUCUGAGGUUUGUAACCGGCAGAGCAACACAAGAGCGCACGUAAUGUAUGUAUAACGGGACCAUGCAUUGGCCAAGCGCUCGCAUCUGCGUUUGCGUACUUGCGUGAAGUAUAUUUCGGUCUUUAGAAACAAAAAAAACUGGCCUCUUCACUCGACUGAGCAAAAUAAAAUAAGGCUAGAGGUACCUGAAUGCUCUUUUUGAAAAAAGCUGAUCUCCUUCUGAAACAGUUCGCGGUCCGUAAAGCACUCACAAACAGAUAAUACCUGACUCACCUAUGUCACGUCGCGACCCCCAUUAUAAUCAGUGAUACUGUCUACACUGUAAGCGUCCGCUGAAGCGCAUCGCUCCGACAAUUUUGCGCUGCACGCACAGGCACACCUACCAGCAAGACAAAUGAACCGCUAACGUUCACUUUGUGCAGACAGCCUCAAGCUGUCCUGGCCCAAAUCGGAUUUUUUUUCAUUCACGUGACACAAAAAAGUUGUAGGCAUGCAGAGGUUUAAAGAGGACUCAGGACGUGUUUAAAUGUACCUGAACAUGUAUUUAUAUAAGUGUGUGUAGACUUCUCUAUAGUGACUGAAGAACUGUGCACA